rnacentral:rRNA from 1 species
UACGGGGGGAGCAAGCGUUGUUCGGAUUCACUGGGUUUAAAGGGCGCGUAGGCGGCCUCCGCAAGUCAAUUGUGAAAUCUCCGGGCUUAACUCGGAAAGGUCAACUGAUACUGCGGGGCUAGAGUGCGGAAGGGGCAACUGGAAUUCUUGGUGUAGCGGUGAAAUGCGUAGAUAUCAAGAGGAACACCUGCGGCGAAGGCGGGUUGCUGGGCCGACACUGACGCUGAGGCGCGAAAGCUAGGGGAGCGAACGGG